rnacentral:lncRNA from 1 species
CCGAGCUUUUUCCUUUGCCGUUGUUAUUGUUGUAUUCCCUUCCCCUCCUCUCUCUUUUUCUUCUCUUUUCUCUUUUUUUUUUUUUUUUUUUUUUGAUGUCGUCCUUAGGUUAUCGGUGGUUGCCAUGCCGGCUCGCCUUUUAGUUAUCCCCUUCCUUCAACCUCAAUGGCUCUAUAAUGCAUACGAGAAGGUAAUUUUCCACUACC